CAGUCGCCGCGGGAAUACGAAGGGUGCAAGCGUUAAUCGGAAUUACUGGGCGUAAAGCGUGCGUAGGCGGUUUGUUAAGUCUGCUGUGAAAUCCCCGGGCUCAACCUGGGAAUGGCAGUGGAUACUGGCAAGCUAGAGUGUGUCAGAGGAUGGUGGAAUUCCCGGUGUAGCGGUGAAAUGCGUAGAGAUCGGGAGGAACAUCAGUGGCGAAGGCGGCCAUCUGGGACAACACUGACGCUGAGGCACGAAAGCGUGGGGAGCAAACAGGAUUAGAUACCCCGGUAGUCCCUGUCUCUUAUAC
rnacentral:rRNA from 1 species